rnacentral:rRNA from 1 species
AGCGAACGCUGGCGGCAGGCCUAACACAUGCAAGUCGAACGAACCUUUCGGGUUUAGUGGCGGAUGGGUGAGUAACACGUGGGAACGUUCCUUUAGGUUCGGACUAACUCAGUUCAAUUUGUGCUAAUACCGAAUGUGCCCUUCGGGGUUAAUAUUUAUCGCCUUUAGUACCGCCCGCGUCUGUUUAGCUAGUUGGUUUAGGUAAUGGCUCACCAAGGCGACGAUCAGUAGCUGGUCUGAGAGGAUGAUCAACCACAUUGGGACUGAGAAACGGCCCAAACUCCGAAGAGAGGGAGAAGUGGGGAAACUUACGCAAUGCGCGAAAGCCUGACGCAGCCAUGGAGCGUAAAUGAUAAAGGGGUUAGGAUUGUGAAAUUGUUUAAGCAGGGACGAUAAUGAAGGUACACGGAGAAGAAGCCCAGGCUAACUGAGUG